UUAAGUUCAGCGGGUAUUCCUACCCGAUCCGAGGUCAACCUAAUCGAAUUUCGAUUGAAAUUCAUGGGUUCUGACGGCGUGGUCCGCUCCCAUCGCCAGCGAAAAGUGUGUCACAACGCUAAGACGGGCGACGCCAGCCGGUGAAAUUGGGGCGCGGGGGAGUCCCGCCGCCCAACACAAGCCAGGCUUGAUUGGAUUUA
rnacentral:misc_RNA from 1 species